rnacentral:rRNA from 1 species
AGCGAACGCUGGCGGCGUACUUAACACAUGCAAGUCGAACGAGGAUCAUCGGGUUAGCAAUAAUUCGGUGGUUCUAGUGGCGUACGGGUGAGUAACACGUGGGUAACCUGCCCUUGAGUCCGGGAUACCCUCUCGAAAGGGAGGCUAAUACUGGAUACGUUCCCCGGGGCGCAAGACCUGGGGAGGAAAGGUGGCGCAAGCUACCGCCCUUGGAGGGGCUCGCGGCCUAUCAGCUAGUUGGUGAGGUAACGGCUCACCAAGGCUAUGACGGGUAGCUGGUCUGAGAGGACGACCAGCCACACGGGAACUGAGACACGGUCCCGACUCCUACGGGAGGCAGCAGUGGGGAAUUUUCCGCAAUGGGCAAAGCCUGACGGAGUGACGCCGCGUGGGGACGAAGGCC